UUAUAGAAAAUAAUUUUAAGUCAAAUYUGCUCCAUGAAAUUUUUAAAUAGCUGCAGAAUUUUAACUGUACAAAGGUAGCAUAAUCAAUAGUUUUUUAAUUAAAAGCUGGAAUGAAUGAUUUGAUAAGGUAAAUAUUGUCUCAAAUUUAAAGGUGGUAGAAUUUUUUUUUUAGUUAAAAGACUAAAUUGAAUUAAAAAGACGAGAAGACCCUAUAGAUUUUUAUAUUUUAAAUUAAUUAAAUUUAAAAUAAAAAAUAAUUUUUAAUUAAAAAAUAUUUGGUUGGGGAAAUUAUUAAAUAUAAAAAAAUUUUAAUUGAUAAAAACAUUAAUUUAUGAAAUUGUGAUUUUUGUUAAAAAUUAAUAGAAUAAAUUACCUUAGGGAUAACAGCGUAAUUUUUUUUGAGAGAUCUUAUUGAUAAAAAAGUUUGCGACCUCGAUGUUGAAUUAAGAUAAAAUUUUAAAGUAGAAAUUAAAAAUUUUUGGUCUGUUCGACCAUUAAAAUCUUACAUGAUCUGAGUUCAAACCGGAGA
rnacentral:rRNA from 1 species